CGCACAUGCAUCUCUCUUUCUGUCUGUCUCUCCCUCCCUGCCCCAACCCCCCACAGCACACCGGCAGAAGGGUGCACUGGCCCUUUAAGAAAAACAAGUGAGCAGGAAGACCUCCGGCAUCCACCGCACCCUCAGAGCCCCGUUGAAGAUUAAAGAAGGGAGGCACCGCUAAGUUACCUGCUCUGUCUCUGACACAUCUCUUCCAAUACAGAACACCAGCAAUUCCAAGAAUAGUAAACAUGAAGAGGGAAAAGAUCAAGAGCAAGGGUUAAGCCCUAGAAAACCUCCAGCCUGAGAUGUGAAAGAAUAAAACAGCAUCAGAAGUGGAGACCAAAGGGCAUGCUGUCCCAGGAGCAGUUACGGAGGUGGAGAAGACGGAACUGAAUGCUGGGAAGAAGUCAGAGUCAGAGAGACACUAUGGAGCCGCCAGAGUCAAACAUGCUGAAACUUUGCCGGAGGAACAGUGACGGUCCUUUCAUGGGAACGGCAUCACCAGAAAGCCAGUGGAAGCCAGUGUCUGGGCUGUAAUGAGUCCUCCAAGAAAAAGAACAGACAGAGAAGGUGCAGUCACUAUCCCUGACCUUCUUGAGCACCCCCUUCCACUGCUGUGGUGACACACUCUCAGAAGAGCCCGGGAACUCAUUGCAGUCAGGGCCACUCAGCAUGCCUGGUGAGUAAUACUUCCCCAGAGUAUCCUCCCAGCUGCCCAUGACUGAACAAGUCAUAAAAGGAAAUCUGGGUAACAGUGUCAGUUUUAAGAAAAACACAUGGCCCAUCCUGAAAACAGACAGUUCUCUAAAUAGUGACUAUUUAGAGAUAGUAAUAAAAUAAUUUCAACCCCUGUAGGGCUUAGAAUUACAGUGAAUUCACUCCAGUGUCAGUUGGUAGCAGUGCAGAAACAGAAAAAGGUAAAAAUGUCAAUUAGUAAAACAAGUCCUGAUGUGGGAUUCUCCUCUGUGUAUUUUAUUGCACUGGUUAAUAAAGAAGCUACUUUGACCUAUAGCAGGGCAGAAUAUAGCCAGGCUGGAAGAGAUAUAUAAAGAAAGAGUAGGAGGAGUCAGAAUAGUUUCCAAAGGAGACAGAUACCAGAUCCUUCCCAGUAAACCUCAGCCUCAUGCCAAUACACAGAUUAAUAGAAACGGGUUUAUUUAAGACAUAAGAGUUAGUUAAUAAGAAUCCUGAGCUAGCAAACUUAGACAACAAUAAGGACACUAAGAGAGACUUACAUAGAUCUAAGCUACAUGGGAAGUAGAAAGUAGAAAAAGACAAGAUCCCC